GAUGAAGAACGUAGCGAAAUGCGAUACGUAAUGUGAAUUGCAGAAUUCAGUGAAUCAUCGAGUCUUUGAACGCACAUUGCGCCCCCUGGUAUUCCGGGGGGCAUGCCUGUCCGAGCGUCAUUGCUGCCCUCAAGCACGGCUUGUGUGUUGGGCCUCCGUCCUCCUCCCUGGGGACGGGCCCGAAAGGCAGCGGCGGCACCGCGUCCGGUCCUCGAGCGUAUGGGGCUUCGUCACCCGCUCUUGUAGGCCCGGCCGGCGCUUGCCGACACAUCAAUCUUUUUUCCAGGUUGACCUCGGAUCAGGUAGGGAUACCCGCUGAACUUAAGCAUAUCAAUAAGCGGAGGA
rnacentral:misc_RNA from 1 species